rnacentral:rRNA from 1 species
UAGGGAAUUUUCGUCAAUGGGCGCAAGCCUGAACGAGCAAUGCCGCGUGAACGAGGAAGGUCUUCGGAUCGUAAAGUUCUGUUGAAGGGGAAAAAGAGCGGAGAGAGGGAAAUGCUUUCUGAUUGAUAUUACCCUUCGAGGAAGUCACGGCUAACUACGUGCC